rnacentral:misc_RNA from 1 species
CAGAAAAAAGUAGAAGAAAAGGUAGGGGACGAAUAUAGGUAUGAUAUCUGGGGUGACCAUUUUUCUGGACUCCAUUUAAUAAGUAGUUCAAAGGAUGUAACAACCAUGGAAACUGUAAAGACAGAAAACAAUUCCAGUAGCUUCUUUGUAAGGGGUCCACAGGCCCUUGUGACAAAUUCUGCACCAAAAUAUGUGAAUUGCGAUCAAGAAGAGGAGGAAUGAUAAUUUCACCAAAUAAUUUUAAAUAUCUUUGUGCCUC